AGUGAACGCUGGCGGCAGGCCUAACACAUGCAAGUCGAGCGGCAGCGCGGGGGCAACCCUGGCGGCGAGCGGCGGACGGGUGAGGAAUGCAUCGGAAUCUACCUCGUUGUGGGGGAUAACCUCGGGAAACCGGGACUAAUACCGCAUACGACCUACGGGUGAAAGUGGGGGACCUUCGGGCCUCACGCGAUGAGAUGAGCCGAUGCCGGAUUAGCUAGUUGGCGGGGUAAAGGCCCACCAAGGCGACGAUCCAUAGCUGGUUUGAGAGGAUGAUCAGCAACACUGGGACUGAGACACGGCCCAGACUCCUACGGGAGGCAGCAGUGGGGAAUCUUAGACAAUGGGGGAAACCCUGAUCUAGCCAUGCCGCGUGAGCGAUGAAGGCCUUAGGGUUGUAAAGCUCUUUCAGCUGGGAAGAUAAUGACGUACCAGCAGAAGAAGCCCCGGCUAACUCCGUGCCAGCCAGCCGCGGUAAAAGUGUGUGUA
rnacentral:rRNA from 1 species